UUCGUUUUGGGAUUUCACGUCCAGCUGCCUUGCACUGCAUACACACGGGCAACACAACCCUAAAUUUUUUGACAAGUUCUUGAUCUUUCUGUAUUCCUUCUACAGCACAAUGGCAGCAUAUGUCCUUUUGUAUGUUGUUAUAACAGAAUAGUAGGGACAUUCUAUUUGUGAGUUGCAACUAAGUUGGAGUCUGACAAACACUAA
rnacentral:lncRNA from 1 species